rnacentral:rRNA from 1 species
UCCGUUGGUGAACCAGCGGAAGGAUCAUUACAGAGAUCAUGCCCUUCGGGGUAGACCUCCCACCCUGUGUUAUUUACUCUUGUUGCUUUGGCAGGCCGCCUUCGGGCUCCCGGCUCCGGCUGGGGCGCGCCUGCCAGAGGACCCCAUAUUCUAAAUGUUUACAUGUCGUCUGAGAAAUAUAUAAUAAGUUAAAACUUUCAACAACGGACCUCUUGGUUCUGGCAUCGAUGAAGAACGCAGCGAAAUGCGAUAAGUAAUGUGAAUUGCAGAAUUCAGUGAAUCAUCGAAUCUUUGAACGCACAUUGCGCCCCUUGGUAUUCCGGGGGGCAUGCCUGUUCGAGCGUCAUUUCAACCCUCAAGCACAGCUUGGUCUUGGGCCCUGCCGGCAACGGCUGGGCCUUAAAAACAGUGGCGGCGCCAUCGAGCUCUACGCGUAGUAAUUAUACCCUCGCGUGUGAGUCCCGGUGGAUGCUGGCCAGCAACCCCCAAUUUUCUAUGGUUGACCUCGAAUCAGGUAGGGAUACCCGCUGAACUUAAGCAUAUCAAUAAGCGGAGGAAAAGAAACCAACAGGGAUUACCUCAGUAACGGCGAGUGAAGCGGUAACAGCUCAAAUUUGAAAUCUGGCUCUUUCAGGGUCCGAGUUGUAAUUUGUAGAAGAUGCUUCGGGUGUGGCUCCGGUCUAAGUUCCUUGGAACAGGACGUCAUAGAGGGUGAGAAUCCCGUAUGUGACUGGCUGCCUCCGCCCAUGUGAAGCUCUUUCGACGAGUCGAGUUGUUUGGGAAUGCAGCUCAAAAUGGGUGGUAAAUUUCAUCUAAAGCUAAAUAUUGGCCAGAGACCGAUAGCGCACAAGUAGAGUGAUCGAAAGAUGAAAAGCACUUUGGAAAGAGAGUUAAACAGUACGUGAAAUUGUUGAAAGGGAAGCGCUUGCAAUCAGACUUGCACGCUGUUGAUCAUCGGAGGUUCUCCCCCGUGCACUCGGCAGCGUUCAGGCCAGCAUCGGUUUGGGUGGUUAGAUAAAGGCCUUGGGAAUGUAGCUUCUUUCGGGGAGUGUUAUAGCCCUUGGUGCAAUGUAGCCUACCUGGACCGAGGACCGCGCCUCGGCUAGGAUGCUGGCGUAAUGGUUGUAAGCGACC